AGAGUUUGAUCCUGGCUCAGGAUGAACGCUAGCUACAGGCUUAACACAUGCAAGUCGAGGGGAAACGACAUCGAAAGCUUGCUUUUGAUGGGCGUCGACCGGCGCACGGGUGAGUAACGCGUAUCCAACCUGCCCACCACUUGGGGAUAACCUUGCGAAAGUAAGACUAAUACCCAAUGACGUCUCUAGAAGACAUCUGAAAGAGAUUAAAGAUUUAUCGGUGAUGGAUGGGGAUGCGUCUGAUUAGCUUGUUGGCGGGGUAACGGCCGCCGAAGGCUACGAUCAGUAGGGGUUCUGAGAGGAAGGUCCCCCANAUUGGAACUGAGACACGGUCCAAACUCCGUACGGGAGGCA
rnacentral:rRNA from 1 species